rnacentral:rRNA from 1 species
CCUUCGGGCCUCGCGCUAUAGGGUUGGCCGAUGGCUGAUUAGCUAGUUGGUGGGGUAAAGGCCUACCAAGGCGACGAUCAGUAGCUGGUCUGAGAGGACGACCAGCCACACUGGGACUGAGACACGGCCCAGACUCCUACGGGAGGCAGCAGUGGGGAAUUUUGGACAAUGGGCGAAAGCCUGAUCCAGCAAUGCCGCGUGUGUGAAGAAGGCCUUCGGGUUGUAAAGCACUUUUGUCCGGAAAGAAAUCCUUGGUUCUAAUAUAGCCGGGGGAUGACGGUACCGGAAGAAUAAGCACCGGCUAACUACGUGCCAGCAGCCGCGGUAAUACGUAGGGUGCGAGCGUUAAUCGGAAUUACUGGGCGUAAAGCGUGCGCAGGCGGUUUGCUAAGACCGAUGUGAAAUCCCCGGGCUCAACCUGGGAACUGCAUUGGUGACUGGCAGGCUAGAGUAUGGCAGAGGGGGGUAGAAUUCCACGUGUAGCAGUGAAAUGCGUAGAGAUGUGGAGGAAUACCGAUGGCGA